UACGUAGGAGACGAGCGUUGUCCGGAAUUACUGGGCGUAAAGCGCGUGUAGGCGGAUGAGCAAGUCUGCUGUGAAAGCUCCUGGCUUAACCGGGAGUGGUCGGUGGAAACUGCUCGUCUGGAGGACGGUAGAGGUAGGUGGAAUUCCCGGUGUAGUGGUGAAAUGCGUAGAGAUCGGGAGGAAUACCUGUGGCGAAGGCGGCCUACUGGGCCGGACCUGACGCUGAGACGCGAAGGCGUGGGGAGCGAACGGG
rnacentral:rRNA from 1 species